AUGACUGCAGAGAAUUAUUAUAUACCGUUACAUAUCUUAAAAGAGAUUACAAAUGGAUUCUCAGCGGACUCAAGAAUAGGAAGGGGUGGGUAUGGAGACGUUUACAAGGGAGUUUACAAUAGGAGAGAGAUUGCUGUGAAGUUGCUUCAUGUUGAUACGGUGCUAGGACUUGAUGACCAACAAUAUAUCAAUGAAGUUGGUAACCUUUUGAAGGUUAAGCAUCCAAAUAUCGUACAGUUACUUGGCUAUUGUUAUGAAAUACAGAAUGAACUAAUUGAACACAAUGGUGCAAAUCAAUUUAGCCAACACAUAUAUAGUCCUCUGCUUUGA
rnacentral:rRNA from 1 species